ACUACGGGCGGCAGCAGUGAGGAAUAUUGGUCAAUGGGCGGAAGCCUGAACCAGCCAAGUAGCGUGCAGGAUGACGGCCCUACGGGUUGUAAACUGCUUUUAUACGGGAAUAACGCGCCUUACGUGUAGGGCUUUGCAUGUACCGUAUGAAUAAGGACCGGCUAAUUCCGUGCCAGCAGCCGCGGUAAUACGGAAGGACCGGGCGUUAUCCGGAUUUAUUGGGGUUAAAGGGAGCGUAGGCCGCAUGUCAAGCGUGCUGUGAAAUGUCCGGGCUCAACCCGGGCCCUGCAGCGCGAACUGGCGUGCUUGAGUCCGCGGAAAGCAGGCGGAAUUCGUCGUGUAGCGGUGAAAUGCUUAGAUAUGACGAAGAACCCCGAUUGCGAAGGCAGCUUGCUGCAGCGGAACUGACGCUGAUGCUCGAAAGCGCGGGUAUCGAACAGGAUUAGAUACCCCUGUAGUC
rnacentral:rRNA from 1 species